GUCUUUUCGAUUUUUUUGAAAAGUCUAACCUGCCCACUGAAAAUUUUAAAUGGCCGCAGUAUACUAACUGUGCAAAGGUAGCAUAAUCAUUAGUCUUUUAAUUGAAGGCUGGUAUGAAUGGUUGGACGARAUAUUAACUGUUUCAUGAAAAUUUAUAAUAGAAUUUUAUUUUUUAGUCAAAAAGCUAAAAUUAACUUAAAAGACGAGAAGACCCUAUAAAUCUUUAUAUUUGAAUUAUUAUAAUUUUUUAGAUUUAUUUUAUUUUAAUAAUUAAUAAUAUUUUAUUGGGGUGAUAUUAAAAUUUAAAAAACUUUUAAUUUUUUUUUACAUUAAUUUAUGGUUAAUUGAUCCGUUACUAACGAUUAAAAAAUUAAGUUACUUUAGGGAUAACAGCGUAAUUUUUUUGAAGAGUUCUUAUCGAUAAAAAAGAUUGCGACCUCGAUGUUGGAUUAAGAGAUAAUUUUAGGUGUAGCCGCUUAAAAUUUAAGUCUGUUCGACUUUUAAAUUCUUACGUG
rnacentral:rRNA from 1 species